AGGAAUCAUAUUUUAUCAGGAAUUCCAUGGGGCAACCUUGCUUGGUGCAUUAAUGUACCUCUUUGGGUGUUUUCUGUCCUUCUUUGGAGUGGUUUUGGUCACAAGAAAUCGAGAAAGGAAACAUUUACAACAAUCAUACAUUGAUAUUGGACAGAUUCCUGGGAAACAAAUGUUGGACAAAAUUCAGCCAGAGUCCAAUGGCCAAAGCUAUGGAACUUUGCCUGAUGAAAGCAACCCCAUGAAGAGCCCAGGCGGAGAGAAGAAAGACAGCUGAAUGCCAAGAGGACCGUUUGUUGACGUGUUAUUUAAUACCACCUUUAAACCAAGCUGCACAUGUCCCGUUUGUGGCAAAAGUUAUUUUAUGGUGAUAUUUGUUCACAUCAUCUCAGUGUUUCCUGCCCCCUCUCCUCUUGGGACCAUCCCAUGCCGGCUCAGCUUUGCGAUACUAAUGCUUUCUGAAAACCGAAAAGUCCAGAAAUGUAAUCCACAAUUACUUUUGAGCUCUAGACCUCUGCCUAGUGAUCAUUUCUUUGUCCUUGUAAACUUUAAAUACAUCAUAGAUGAGUGUUUGGAUGUGUUUGGAUGUGUGUGGACACAUAUGCAGGUGCAUCAUAUUUCAUAUUCAAACCAAACAUAUGGUUGAAAGGAAUCAGUUUCCCUAUUUUAUAGUCACUUCUUACCUACUCUUGACACACUCCUACGAAAGAGAGUCUUUAUACCAUUCCUUUUUUUUUUUUUUUAUGAGG